rnacentral:ncRNA from 2 species
UAACGAGCCAAGGGGUGCCUGAAAAUCGUAUACGAUUUUAAAGGCUGAGAUGCGAAGCGAACCCUUAGAACCUGAACCGGAUAGUACCGGCGUAGGAAUGGUUAAGCUAAUCGCA